CUACCAAGGCGACGAUCUGUAGCGGGUCUGAGAGGAUGAUCCGCCACACUGGGACUGAGACACGGCCCAGAUUCCUACGGGAGGCAGCAGUGGGGAAUAUUGGACCAAUGGGGGGAACCCUGAUCCAGCCAUGCCGCGUGUGUGAAGAAGGCCUUUUGGUUGUAAAGCACUUUAAGCGAGGAGGAGGCUACCUAGAUUAAUACUUUAGGAUAGUGGACGUUACUCGCAGAAUAAGCACCGGCUAACUCUGUGCCAGCAGCCGCGGUAAUACAGAGGGUGCGAGCGUUAAUCGGAUUUACUGGGCGUAAAGCGUGCGUAGGCGGCCAAUUAAGUCAAAUGUGAAAUCCCCGAGCUUAACUUGGGAAUUGCAUUCGAUACUGGUUGGCUAGAGUAUGGGAGAGGAUGGUAGAAUUCCAGGUGUAGCGGUGAAAUGCGUAGAGAUCUGGAGGAAUACCGAUGGCGAAGGCAGCCAUCUGGCCUAAUACUGACGCUGAGGUACGAAAGCAUGGGGAGCAAACAGGAUUAGAUACCCUGGUAGUCCAUGCCGUAAACGAUGUCUACUAGCCGUUGGGGCCCUUGAGGCUUUAGUGGCGCAGCUAACGCGAUAAGUAGACCGCCUGGGGAGUACGGUCGCAAGACUAAAACUCAAAUGAAUUGACGGGGGCCCGCACAAGCGGUGGAGCAUGUGGUUUAAUUCGAUGCAACGCGAAGAACCUUACCUGGCCUUGACAUACAGAGAACUUUCCAGAGAUGGAUUGGUGCCUUCGGGAACUCUGAUACAGGUGCUGCAUGGCUGUCGUCAGCUCGUGUCGUGAGAUGUUGGGUUAAGUCCCGCAACGAGCGCAACCCUUUUCCUUAUUUGCCAGCACUUCGGGUGGGAACUUUAAGGAUACUGCCAGUGACAAACUGGAGGAAGGCGGGGACGACGUCAAGUCAUCAUGGCCCUUACGGCCAGGGCUACACACGUGCUACAAUGGUCGGUACAAAGGGUUGCUACACAGCGAUGUGAUGCUAAUCUCAAAAAGCCGAUCGUAGUCCGGAUUGGAGUCUGCAACUCGACUCCAUGAAGUCGGAAUCGCUAGUAAUCGCGGAUCAGAAUGCCGCGGUGAAUACGUUCCCGGGCCUUGUACACACCGCCCGUCACACCAUGGGAGUUUGUGCACCAGAAGUAGGUAGUCUAACCGCAAGGAGACGCUACC
rnacentral:rRNA from 1 species